CCUACGGGCGGCAGCAGUGGGGAAUAUUGGACAAUGGGGGAAACCCUGAUCCAGCGACGCCGCGUGGGUGAAGAAGGCCUGCGGGUUGUAAAGCCCUUUCGGUAGGGACGAAAGCUCUUGCCCUAACACGGCAGGAGGUUGACUUAACCUACAAAAGAAGCACCGGCUAACUCUGUGCCAGCAGCCGCGGUAAUACAGAGGGUGCGAGCGUUAAUCGGAAUUACUGGGCGUAAAGCGCACGUAGGCGGCUUGGUAUGUCGGGUGUGAAAUCCCCGGGCUCAACCUGGGAACUGCAUCCGAAACUGCCUUGCUCGAGUAUGGGAGAGGGAAGUGGAAUUUCCGGUGUAGCGGUGAAAUGCGUAGAUAUCGGAAGGAACAUCAGUGGCGAAGGCGACUUCCUGGACCAAUACUGACGCUCAGGUGCGAAAGCGUGGGGAGCAAACAGGAUUAGAUACCCUAGUAGUC
rnacentral:rRNA from 1 species